ACAUUAGCAUGGGAUAAUGGAAUAGGACCCUGUCCUCCUAUUUUCAGUUGGUUUUGGCAGCGCGAGGACUAGGGUAAUGAUUAAUAGGGAUAGUUGGGGGCAUUAAUAUUUAAUUGUCAGAGGUGAAAUUCUUGGAUUUAUGAAAGAUUAACUUCUGCGAAAGCAUCUGCCAAGGAUGUUUUCAUUAAUCAAGAACGAAAGUUAGGGGAUCGAAGACGAUCAGAUACCGUCGUAGUCUUAACCAUAAACGAUGCCGACCAGCGAUUAGGAGACGUUGAAUACAAAACACCACCAUCGGUGCGGUCAUCCUUGGCGUUGGUCUUCAAAAGCCAGCGCGGGGGUGGCUUAGCCCGGUGGCACCGGUGAAUGACUCCCUAGCG
rnacentral:rRNA from 1 species